UACAGAGGGUGCGAGCGUUAAUCGGAAUUACUGGGCGUAAAGCGCGCGUAGGCGGCUUUGCAAGUCGGGUGUGAAAUCCCCGGGCUCAACCUGGGAAUGGCAAUGGAUACUGGCUGGCUAGAGUGUGUCAGAGGAUGGUGGAAUUCCCGGUGUAGCGGUGAAAUGCGUAGAGAUCGGGAGGAACAUCAGUGGCGAAGGCGGCCAUCUGGGACAACACUGACGCUGAAGCACGAAAGCGUGGGGAGCAAACAGG
rnacentral:rRNA from 1 species